GAUGAACGCUGACAGAAUGCUUAACACAUGCAAGUCUUUGGCAAAGCUGUGCUUGCACAGUCUAGCCAAGGCGGACGGGUGAGUAACGCGUAAGGAACUUGCCCUGCAGUCAGGGAUAACAGACGGAAACGACUGAUAAAACCUGAUAAAGUCAGACGGACUCAUGUCUAGUCUGAUGAAAAGAAAUGCUGCAGGAGAGCCUUGCGUCCUAUUAGCUUGUUGGUGGGGUAACGGCCCACCAAGGCAAUGAUAGGUAGCCGGCCUGAGAGGGUGGACGGCCACAAGGGGACUGAGAUACGGCCCUUACUCCUACGGGAGGCAGCAGUGGGGAAUAUUGGACAAUGGGGGCAACCCUGAUCCAGCAAUUCUGUGUGCACGAAGAAGGUUUUCGGAUUGUAAAGUGCUUUCAGCAGGGAAGAAAAAAAUGACGGUACCUGCAGAAGAAGCGACGGCUAAAUACGUGCCAGCAGCCGCGGUAAUACGUAUGUCGCAAGCGUUAUCCGGAAUUAUUGGGCAUAAAGGGCAUCUAGGCGGCCAGAUAAGUCUGGGGUGAAAACUUGCGGCUCAACCGCAAGCCUGCCCUGGAAACUAUGUGGCUAGAGUACUGGAGAGGUGGACGGAACUGCACGAGUAGAGGUGAAAUUCGUAGAUAUGUGCAGGAAUGCCGAUGAUGAAGAUAGUUCACUGGACGGUAACUGACGCUGAAGUGCGAAAGCUAGGGGAGCAAACAGG
rnacentral:rRNA from 1 species